CUUCAUCGAACAGGCAACGGAGUGCCACGAGUCCUGAUCACACAUCCCCAAAGCUGGUGAUAUUUAAACCAAAAUUUUUAGGUCUUCUCAUUUUUCAUUUCCCAUUUUCUCUCUCAUGUUCUCCUGAUCCUCUGCUCUUCCUUGCGAGUAAAACCUUAAGGUUUCCUCCGCAACUCGCCCUACUCUCUCUUUCUUUUCUCUUCUCUCUUCUCUUCUCUCACCCUCUCUAUGCUUCCCUCUUCCUUUGAAAUCCCACCAGUAAAGCCCUAAAUCUCCCCUAGUUUUCAUAUUUUUGAGUUAUCUAUUGCUUUUUCUAAGGCUUGAGGUUUCAAAAUUUCCCCUCGUAACCAAUUGAGCUACCAAAAACCUACAUCCUAUCCCCCCUGUAGAUCUAUGAACCAAGAACCCUAACUUACGACUCUUACCCAAAUACCUGCUUACAACCAAAAUUCCUCACUAGCCUCUCUCUUUCUUUUCCUCAACAACCUUUGGAGGAGUUACAGCCUUGGACGAAUGGAAUGCGACUUCAGCGAACUUGUCCUGAAGGCCUUUGAAGAAAAUGGUUGGUGAAGGUCCUGGUGGUAAUUUGGGACUUGCAGGCUUUUUGAGUGCUCCCAGGUGGCAGUUUAGGACUUGCAGGCUUUUUGGGAGCUUCCAGGUGGCAGCCCGGGAGUGGAGGGUUCAGAACCUGCCUUCUAUUUUUAUUAUUUUUGUCUUCUAUAAUUUUGCAUGUAUGUACCCUCGUGCCCCCUUUUCUGCAACAUUCCUUUGUAACUUUUGUAUAUUAUUUCCUUGUAUUUUGCAUUUCUCAUUUUCAUGUAUUUUGAUUUUCUGUAUUCUUUGUAUUGUUUUAUGCGAGUAGCCUCUUGUUUCCCUUGUAACUUUUCCUAUAUGCUUGUACUUCACAUGUGUCAUGACGUCCCUUUUCCAGAAUGAAAUUUGAGAUGUAUGCAUUUUAUU